rnacentral:lncRNA from 1 species
CUGUGGUUUAUUUUCCUUUAUGAUUACCAUGUGUUUAAAUAAAUUUUCUUAUAGCUAUAAAAAUCUAUUUUAAGCUAAUAACUAUUUCUCUUUUUUCGAUCCUACUUGGACACCCCAAGUUCGUAUAUUGUUUCACUUGACUGUGUCUCACGAGUCUUGUAGUCUUCCUUCUUCUUCACUCUUUUUUUGUUUAUUUGUCUGACUGAAUGAUUUCAAAUUAUAUGUCUUUGGGAUCACUGAUUCUUUUGCUCAGACAAGUCUGCUGUUAAAACUGUAUUGAAUUUUUUAAUUCUGUCAUUGCAUUCUUCAGCUUCAGAAUUUCUCUUUGGUUCUUUGUUACGGUUUCCAUACCUUUGUUAAAUUCCUUAUUUUGUUCGUGUAUUUUUCUUUCCUGAUUUUGUUUAGGUGAACUCUCCUGUAGCUUACUAAUCUUGGAGAUUAUUCUUGUGACUUCUUUGUCAGGCAAUUCAUAGAUCUCUAUUUCUUUAGAGCACUCAUCAAAACUUUAUUUUGUUUGGUGGUGUCACAUUUUCUUGAUUCUUUAUGUUUUUUGAUGACUUGCAUUUUUGUCUUUGUAUGUGAAAGAGCAGUCACCUCCUCUAGCUUG